rfam:Tumebacillus flagellatus strain GST4 Contig056, whole genome shotgun sequence.
AGAGGCCUAACAUGUCCGCCUGUCACGCGGAAGACCGCGGGUUCGAAUCCCGUCAGCUCCG